rnacentral:rRNA from 1 species
CAGUAGCCGCGGUAAUACCGAGGGUGCGAGCGUUAAUCGGAAUUACUGGGCGUAAAGCGCGCGUAGACGGUUUUGUAAGUCAGAUGUGAAAUCCCUGGGCUCAACCUGGGAACUGCAUUUGAUACUGCAUGGCUAGAGUAUGGAAGAGGGAAGUGGAAUUUCCGGUGUAGCGGUGAAAUGCGUAGAUAUCGGAAGGAACACCAGUGGCGAAAGCGACUUCCUGGUCCAAUACUGACGUUCAUGUGCGAAAGCGUGGGGAGCAAACAGGAUUAGAUACCCCUGUAGUCCCUGUCUCUUAUAC